GGGAGUGUAGCUCAGUGGUAGAGCACUUGUCCAACUGUUCCGUUCUGAGUUCAAGUCCCAGCACCUCUG
rnacentral:tRNA from 1 species